AUACGUAGGGCGCGAGCGUUGUCCGGAAUUACUGGGUGUAAAGGGUGCGUAGGCGGGACUGCAAGUCAGAUGUGAAAUGCCGGGGCUCAACCCCGGAGCUGCAUUUGAAACUGUGGUUCUUGAGUGAGGUAGAGGUAAGCGGAAUUCCUAGUGGAGCGGUAAAAUGCGCAGAUAUUAGGAAGAACACCGGUGGCGAAGGCGGCUUACUGGGCUUUUACUGACGCUGAGGCUCGAAAGCGUGGGGAGCAAACAGGAUUAGAUACCCUGGUAGUCCACGCUGUAAACGAUGAUUACUAGGUGUGGGGGGACUGACCCCUUCCGUGCCGCAGUUAACACAAUAAGUAAUCCACCUGGGGAGUACGGCCGCAAGGUUGAAACUCAAAUGAAUUGACGGGG
rnacentral:rRNA from 1 species